ACUUGCAGUGUUGAGGAUCAGACCCCCAGCCACAUGCUAUAUAAAGCAUGUGCUUUACCCCCUGAGCCAUCUUCUGGUUCUGAGUUUGAUCCCUGGCAUUGCAUGUACCAGAAGGAUGCUCUCAUUCUCUCUCAUGAAUAAAAAUGUUAUGUUAUGUAUGUUAUGUUAUGUUACCUUAUGUUACGUUAUGUUUUUAAGAAACAUGUCUCUUCUUAAGAAACAGACAACCUGCACCUAGAUUUAGUCUGGUAAUUGGACUCAACAGUAGGCCAGGUCCACUUAAAAUCCAGAAUCAACAAAUUUAGAACCAAGGCAAAGGAGAAAACAGUCACUACAAUAUUUUUUAAGACACUGAGUAGAUUUUUUUUGCAUUGGUCUCUCUAUAUAAAAUUAUUUUCAACAUCUCUGUAUUUAUGAUUGUAGUGGGUCAAGCUGACUUGGUUCUCCUUGAGCUAGACAAUGUGUGUGUCAACAUUUGGGCUACAAUAUCCUGCUAUGUGUUGAUCUUUGAAAGUAAGAGAAUGUGCUGGGAUGGGAUGGGGAGGCAGAACUUGGAGCAAGAAGCAUCAUCAUUCAGGCUUCACAUAGGAAACACCUCAAGAUAUCAGUAUCAGAGCAACCCUUUACAAGUAUUUGUCAAGAUUUAUUUUACUUAUUUAUUGAAAUAAAGCAGAGAAACUGAGAUGGAAGGGGGAGGUAGAGAGAAAGACACCUGGCAGCACUGCUUAAGCGCUUGUGAAGCUUUCUCUUUGCAGGUGACUCGACAUAUUACCAUCUUAAGCUAGGUAUCAUUUCUUUCUUUUUCUUUUUAAUUUCUUUAUGGAGGAAUUAAUGUUUUACAUUCCACAUUAAAUACAAUAGUUUGUACAUGCAUAACAAUUCCCAGUUUUCCAUAUAACAAUCUAGGUAUCAUUUCUAAAGCCUGUUAAAUCUAAAAUGUCUUAACUUUUUGUAAUAAUUUCCUGAUUCACGUUUCCCUGUCUUAAACAUCUUGGUUCUGUUUAAAUUUGCCUUGUGGGAACUCCCAUCUGUCUCUGAUCUUGGUAAUUUUACAGGGCUUUUAGUUGAAUGCCAGCAGUAACGCUCCCAGUUAAAAAAUAAAGAAAUCGCUCUGUGUGUGCUUCGAGCUAGGCUUUACCAGAAGAUUAUCGAGAAAGACAGGUGUCAACAGCAAAAUGCCAGAAGACUGCAGGUUGGAACAAGAGCCCAGUCAGAAAGAAUUCGGACCUACAAUUUUACCCAGAAUAGAGUCACUGACCACAGGGUGUCCUUGCUGGUGGGAGAGGCCCCUGGAUGGGCUUCCAUGG